rnacentral:rRNA from 1 species
GACAGAGGUGCCAAGCGUUAGGCGGAAUCACUGGGCUUAAAGCGUGUGUAGGUGGAUGUCUAAGUACCUUGUGAAAUCCCACGGCUCAACCGUGGAACUGCUUGGUAUACUGGAUGUCUUGAGCCACUUAGGGGCUACCGGAACAAAUGGUGGAGCGGUGAAAUGCGUAGAUAUCAUUUGGAACGCCAAUGGUGAAAACAGGUAGCUGGGAGUGUGCUGACACUGAGACACGAAAGCCAGGGGAGCAAACGGG